UACGGAGGGAGCUAGCGUUAUUCGGAAUUACUGGGCGUAAAGCGCACGUAGGCGGCUUUGUAAGUUAGAGGUGAAAGCCUGGAGCUCAACUCCAGAAUUGCCUUUAAGACUGCAUCGCUUGAAUCCAGGAGAGGUGAGUGGAAUUCCGAGUGUAGAGGUGAAAUUCGUAGAUAUUCGGAAGAACACCAGUGGCGAAGGCGGCUCACUGGACUGGUAUUGACGCUGAGGUGGCGAAAAGCGUGGGGGAGCAAACAGG
rnacentral:rRNA from 1 species